AAGACUAUAGACCUGCGGAGUACCUGCGGAGGGAUCAUUACUGAGUGAGGGCCCUCUGGGUCCAACCUCCCACCCGUGUUUAUUGUACCUUGUUGCUUCGGCGAGCCCGCCUCACGGCCGCCGGGGGGCAUUUGCCCCCGGGCCCGCGCCCGCCGAAGACAUCAUUGAACUCUGUCUGAAGAUUGCAGUCUGAGUAGAUUAGCUAAAUCAGUUAAAACUUUCAACAAUGGAUCUCUAGAU
rnacentral:misc_RNA from 1 species